rnacentral:rRNA from 1 species
AUUGAACGCUGGCGGCAGGCUUAACACAUGCAAGUCGAGGGUAGCGGCAGACGGGUGAGUAACUAGUGGGAACGUACCUUUUGGUUAGGAACAACACCGGGAAACUUGUGCUAAUACCGGAUACCGAAAGAUCGGCCCGCGUCUGCUUAGCUGGUUGGUAGGGUAAUGGCCUACCAAGGCGACGAUCAGUAGCUGGGCUGAGAGAAUGAUCAGCCACAUUGGGACUGAGACACGGCCCAAACUCUUACUGGAGGCAGCAGUGGGGAAUAUUGCAAAAUGGUGGCAACCCUGAUCCAUCCAUGCCGCUGAAGUUAUUAAGGCCGUAGGGUAGGAAAGCUGUUUUGUACGAGAAGCGGUACCGCAAGAAGAAGCCCCGGCUAACUUCGUGCCAGCAGCCGCGGUAAUAC